rnacentral:lncRNA from 10 species
AGAAGACCUGAAAGGAGAGUCACCAAAAGAAGAAAAACAAUGUCCCCAAGAGUCCACCUCCAAGAGAACAAGCAACUUCCUAGCAGAUGCUGAGGCUUGCAAGACUAAUCUGGGCUUGGAAGUGUUAAAAGAAAAGAUUUUAAUUUAAAAAGCAAAGAAAGGGCCGGGCUCAGUGGCUCAUGCCUGUAAUCCCACCACAUUGGAAGCCAAGGCAGGCAGACUGCUUAAAGCCAGGAGUUUGAGACCAGCUUGACCAACAUGGCGAAACCCCGUCUCUACUAAAAAUUGGCUGGGCAUGGUGGCCUGUCCAUGUGGUCCCAGCUACUUGGGAGGCUGAGAUGGGAGAAUCACUUGAACUGGGGACCCAGAGGUUGCAGUGACUUGAGAUCGCACCACUGCACUUCAGCCUAGGCAACAGAGCAAGACUGUCUCAAAAUAAAAUAAAAUAAAAAGCAAAGAAAGUCCUUGAACCCAUUGGAAACAUCUUUCAAGGAGCAUGAAACCAACCCUUUUAUCACGUAACAAGUAUUAAUGGAAAGACAUGAGACGUUGCAAAGUAUUACUAGAUGCUGGAGUCUAGAGAUUAUCUAUUUGACAUUUAGGCAGAGAGCAAGGAAAAAACACAAAGUACUAAGGAAGCAGGGAGCCUCUCUAAAUGCUGAUAAGACGAUGAACUGCGUUAGUCGGGGAACACUUUGGGAGACUGAGGUGGGUGGAUCAUUUGAGGCCAGGAGUUCAAGACCAGCCUGGUUAACAUGGGGAAACCCAUCUCUACUAAAAAUAUCUCUCAAGGCAGCCUCUUGGUGAGCGAAAGUUCUGAGGCAACCCGGUGGAGGGUUAGAGUUCCCCGAUGGGCAGGCUUUGGUUUGCAAAUCAACUGGUAACCCUCAAGAAGAGAUCCGUCUAGGAGAACAUAUAAUUAGAUGAACUUGCCUUGUAGGCAUCUGCUGAACUGCGAGGUAAAAGGUUAUAUUUGCAUGUCUAAAGGAAUGAGUAGGAAGUGGGAAACUGGGGAACCGGGGAGUGAGAAAAGAAGAGAGAAAAAAAUAAUUAAACCAUCUCUUAGAAAAACGGG